CCUACGGGAGGCAGCAGUGAGGAAUAUUGGUCAAUGGUCGGGAGACUGAACCAGCCAAGCCGCGUGAGGGAUGAAGGUACAGAGUAUCGUAAACCUCUUUUGUCAGGGAACAAAGGCGGGGACGCGUCCCCGGAUGAGUGUACCUGAGGAAAAAGCAUCGGCUAACUCCGUGCCAGCAGCCGCGGUAAUACGGAGGAUGCGAGCGUUAUCCGGAUUUAUUGGGUUAAAGGGGUGGGCAGGCGGUCUGUUAAGUCAGCGGUAAAAGCCCGGGGCUCACCCCCGGCCCGCCGUUGAAACUGGCAGUCUCGAGUUGGAGAGAAGUAGGCGGAAUGCGCGGUGUAGCGGUGAAAUGCAUAGAUAUCGCGCAGAACUCCGAUUGCGAAGGCAGCAUGCCGGCUCCACACUGACGCUGAGGCACGAAAGCGUGGGUAUCGAACAGGAUUAGAUACCCUUGUAGUC
rnacentral:rRNA from 1 species